AUCCAGCUGACUAGUCCUAAAUGAGGUUAAACGCGCGUCCUGGAU
rnacentral:hammerhead_ribozyme from 1 species